rnacentral:rRNA from 1 species
UUUCCUACGGGAGGCAGCAGUAGGGAAUCUUUCACAAUGGGCGAAAGCCUGAUGGAGCAACGCCGCGUGCAGGAUGAAGGCCUUCGGGUUGUAAACUGCUUUUAUAAGCGAGAAAUAUGAUGGUAACUUAUGAAUAAGGAUCGGCUAACUACGUGCCAGCAGCCGCGGUAAUACGGAGGAUGCGAGCGUUAUCCGGAUUUAUUGGGUUUAAAGGGUGCGCAGGCGGCACGGCAAGCCGGCGGUCAAAUCGCGGGGCUCAACCCCGCCCAGCCGUCGGAACUGCCGGGCUAGAGUGGGCGAGAAGG